GCGUGGGAUGAAAAUACGAUCACAGAUUGUGUGGCAGAAGUGUAAAAGAUACUGUCAACUGGUUAAGAAGACAAGAAGUGCCUUUCACUAACUCAAGAUUAUUUUGCUGCAAGUGAAUACAAUGUCGGUAGACAAAUAACCUGGAAACACAUAACGAUAGGAAUUAGAGUCUAAUUGUAGUAUUCCAAUAACUUAUUUUGUUAUUGGGGUAAGGAGAAAACAAAAUAUUAUAAUUAUGACAAAUAUAUAAAAUCAUAAGCAACAGUCAUCAAAUUCGCAUGUAUUCCAAUUCGUAAUAAUAAUUAAUGAAUAAUAAUAAACAAAUAUUAAAAAAUGUAUUUGUAAAACUAAAAACAAUUGCGUCUUAGAGAAAAGUGAUUUCCUUUCUUCUCUUCAAUACAAAAUAUUCGCAAAUUCUAUGAUAAUUUAGAAAAGUUUCUGUCACCGUUUUAGACUGGCAAAUGCAUCUCUCGUUACAAAAAUGUCGAUUUACGGAACACGGAUAAUGUACAAGCCUAUUAACGCGUAUCUAUAUUCAUAAAUUGCAUUCUGCAUUGUUACACAUUAUAAUAAUCUCACCGAUUUUCAUUCUCAAUUAUAUAGAAUUGCGCACUCAUGCACACAGAUGUUACACAAAAUCGUAGGAAUAAGUGUUUACAUGUUUAGACUUUAAA